UAUAGCUACUUCAUCUUCUCCUCUUUCUUCAAUAUCCCACCCAAAAUCUUCUAUUCUCCUCCACCGAAAUUUUUAUUGAUGCAUGGUUAAUGAUUGGUUUGACUCAUUAUUUUCUUGAUUAAUUUUUUAAAUAGGUUUGUUGAGGAAGUAAGUGUUCGUCUUCUUCAUCCGAAUUCAGAGACUAUUGGAUAGAGGUUGAGGAUGAGAUUCUUGAAGAGUUGGAAUUUUGGGUUAGAUUUUUUGAUUUUGUUAAUUAUAUGUUGAAGGAAUUUGUUAAGAAGGAUGAUUGUGUUUAAAAUUUUGGUUAAAGUUCUUGA